GCAGAACUGUCACGUGUUCAUAUCCUCCUAUUUCCUCUUUCAAUUCAUUCUUGGUGUCUGCAGUUCCAAACAAGACAAACCCCACUUCAUCAUAUCUGCUGAAAACCAGCUUCUUCUGUAUCAACAAUGAGCAAACUUUUUCAAUCUCAGGUAAAACCGAGUGCAUGGAAGGACCCACAUCAAUUACCAAUACCAACGCUUCCUUAUUACGAGCCAUUAGAAGGGAAAUGAGCGUUCACGGCUGUUUGGUUCUUCUUCUUCCCGCGCCCUUAGUUGAAUACUUGGCAGUUUCUCAAAACUUGCACUGGAAUUUUCACAUAGUGCUUCUCCAAUUUAGUAUUUGAAAAUUGAAGAAAGGGAGAAUUCACACGUCGGC
rnacentral:misc_RNA from 1 species